AUUAAUAUCUAAUAGUUUACUCUAUACAUUGAAGAUCUUAUGAUGAAGCCUAAUACGGUAGUGCGGCGUACCCAGAUUUGAUGCAUGCAGUCUUUGUGAUCAAGUUUAUAUUCAAGUGUAGAUGGUGACUAUACUGGGCUAUUUUGUAAAAGGCAUCUAUGACUUUAUAUAUUUACUCCUAACUGCAGAUAAGAUUUCAUUUCAACUCUGGAUACCAGAUAUAACUUGACAAUUUAUGCUUAAGAAUAUGAAAACCAAAACUUUUUUCACUCGAAAGAAAGAAGGAGACAGUAGAAAGGUUUAUUGUUUCAUUUAAUGAAUUAAGACUGUCUUUAUGAACCCAAUAGAAAAUUAUUUGGAAUCUGCUCACUACAAAAUGCAUUGGAAUAGGACAAGCUAUAAUAGGAAAAACUUGUUGACCUGGAGAGUGCAUCAUUAUACACUAGUUCAUUUUUAAAGAUAAAACAGUGGAGUUAAAUUAACAGCUGAAUUUCAUCAUCCAGUUUAUGUCUGUUUAAAUAAGCUUUGUGUCUUUUCACAUGAUUGAAACAUCCUGUACUGACAUUUUUAGCAUUUGCAGAAGCAAUAGUUUCCUCUGGAUCAUCAUGCACCAUCGCUACAAGAGGUGUAUUAAAGGUAGAGAGGAUGAUGUUCAGACCUAAAGCAAUAUAAAAAUCAUACCAGUACUUAUCAAACAAUGGAAACUCCAGGUAGGGAUAUCAACAAUGUAGGAAAAGACAGAUUGCUACUUACCUUAAAGAAGACAUGUUAAGUUGCAGAUAGGCAUGAUUAAAAGACACUUACGUAGAGCUUUCAGCCACAGCCUUCAUCAGUAAAGAAAAGCACACACGAUUCACACACACAAUCAAGCACACACGACUGCCAAUUCCAGCAUCUCAGGCCGGAAUGCAUUCUGGCUUGAGAUGAUGGUGUUGGCAGUCGUGUGUGCUUGGGGUGUGCUUGCAUGUGGGUGUGAAUGGUACGUGUGUCUCCUUUACUGGUGAAGGCUGUUGCCAAAAACUCUAUGUGAGUGUAUUUUAAUUGUACCUGUCUGAAACUUGACACAUCUUCUUUAUGGUAAGUAGCAUUUUAGUACUUAUCCAUUUGUAGAUUUCCAACUUUCCAAAUUCUCUUCACAGUGCUUCAUACAUGUAAUAAUAUGAAAUUUACUGUCAUAGCAUUCCUUUUGAAGAACUUAAGUGAUAAUAAUUUUGUUGUUGUUAUGAAAUUGCUGAUUUCAGCUGCUGUGUCAUGCUUAGUUUGAUUACAGUUGUCACAUGAAGAUACCAUAUCCUUUCCUUCAAUUCUUGAAAAUAGUCUGUUCAUUUGUACCAGAAACAGUUGAAUUGUGCUUGAAAACUGUGUAUUGCCGAGUUUCACUGGUUUUUGUGUACUGAGGAACAAAAUGUGAGUCUUCUUUUCUACUGAAUACUUGGUUACCUAGUCAUUUUACAUCAGAAAAUUCUGUCUUUAUUAAAUUUUAAUGAUCCAAAACACUACAUACCGUUGAAGAAAUCAUGGAAAAUCACUGUUGGUAACUACUGUAAAGUGAGAAAUUUAUUAUUAAAGACCUAUAUAAUAAUAUGCCCUGAAACCAAAACUGUUAUUAUGCACUACUUAUACUGUACACAGAUGAAUGCAACAUUUUAUAUAAUUUAUGCAUUGUGCAUCUCACAAACCAAAAGAUAUACCUCCUUUUACAGAACAAAGCAUAGGUUAGGCAAAUCUGAGACUGUGCUUGCCUCAUAAUUGUUGUAAUUUGAAUUAUAUUGUAAUUUUAGUUGACAGAAAAAUACCUGUAAUUACCUGUGAUGAGGUAUUUGGAACUCAGGAGAUUUUCAUUGCCACUAUCAAUUUCUUUAGAACUUUCAGUGCUAAUGUUUUACCACUUAUUUUAGUUUGCCAUUACCAGUAAUCAAAAUUAUAUGAAGCUUUUGAAGUUAGUGAAAACAGAACCAUAAACAUGUCGGUGAACAAAGGAACCCUUUGUCAUUUCCAAGUGCCAUUUGUUUGUUGUCAGUGCCAAGCACAUUACCUGAAUUGUUCAUGUAACUUCAUGAAAGUUAACAUGAAGAUAAGGAAUAAAAAGUAGUGAAAACCUGUAGGAGAACUAACAAUGAAUCAUGUAUGCACUCCAUGCAAUGCAGCAUUAAUUUCUGUAUCAUGAGCUGACAGAGUUGGGAGUCUGAUCAUAGUGUUCUUCAUUUUUGUUUUGUUUCUCCCUUACCAUUCGCUGUUAGUUCGUAGAUCUUCAAAAGGAGAAUGUAAUAAAAUUUUGUGGCAGAUUAAAACUUUAUGUUGGCUAGAACUCAAACCCAAAACCACAACAUUCACAUGCAGUGCUCCUACUCAUUGCGCCAUGCAGGUGAGACUCACAAUUAAUGCUGCCAGUUUUUGUACUGCCAAUAUCUCUCUGCGACAUUCCAGAUUUAUCAGAAGUCCUGCUGCCCACCAUGCUGAACUAAGACUUCUGAAAUAAAUUUUUAAUUUGCCAGGAAGUUUCGGAACAAUUCACACUCCACACUAUAGUUAUGGAACUGUAGACCAACAGAAUUAAUUGCUUAAUUGUGAUGAAUGACUUGUGGCUGCCUGAGACAUUAAUGACAAGCAGCUCUGUGUCUGGAGUUUACUCUGAUGUAUUCGACUACAACUCAAAGAGGUACAGGUGCACACAAUGUAGUAAAACUUACAUGUGGAAGACUACUUUGGCAAGACAUGUAAAAUAUGAAUGUGGCAAACCUCCACAGUUUCAGUGUCCUUUUUGCCAGAAAAGAAGUCAUAGGAAGAGCAAUAUUGAACAGCACAUCCGGUGUCACCACAGAAUGUAAUGAAUUGUUUCAGGAUUGAUAAAUGUUGAGGAAUGAAAAUAAAGAAAUGAGUGUAUUUCUACUUAAAAUUUUAAUGUACACUGAAAAUAUAAGAUUGAUGUCAGUGAUUUGUAAUAUAAAUAAAUUCUCUAUUAGAAAGUUAUUUUCUUUCUGUUAGGGACUAAUAAUUCAUGAAUACAGAGAGCUCCAGAGACAAUUUUAUGAACAAUGCACAUACUAGAUCAUGUAUUUAUAAAAAUAUGUGAUCUAGACAGUUCUUUGUUCGUAAAAUUAUGAAAAAGAUCACUAUUUUCUCUUGGUGACACAGAGCCACCUCUCUGUAUUAAAGACUGUGUGAAAAUUCAGUUGUUGAACAUGGGGUAUUGCAGUCAUGCUAUUCUUCAUUGUACCGGAAUAUAACUUUAACUGUUAUUCAA